rnacentral:tRNA from 1 species
AGUAAGAUGUCUGAUUAAAGAGUUAUUUUGAUGUAAUGAAAAAAGUGAUUAUUCACUCUUACUA